UGAAAAUUGUUGGCGCUGAAAUGAGCCCAGCCCACGAAACAAAGCCACCUCCCCUUUUCCCCUUCUUCCCCCAAAUCCCUCAGAUCUGGAAUCCAGUUUCUACAUCCGUCGCCGCCGCCCAUGGUCGGGCUCUCUCUCCGCCGCACGCGCUGCUCCCCGCAGCCGGCCAGGUGCUCUCCAGCCGAUGAGACCGCCGCAGCCUCUCUCCCCCCACCGGCCUGUCCACCGCCGACCCCACUCCACACAGCCGCCGGUGGAACCCUACUCCAUACUGCCGCCGCCUCCACUGGCAGGAGCUUUCUCCGCUGCCCCCUCCGUCUGCAGGUAUUCUCCCCUCCUAUCUGUUUGCCCUUCCCUUCACCGCCGCUCACCGCACUGCCCUACACGCACAUAUGGUCUUGCCGUUGCCGUCCAAACCCUACCGGCGGUUGCCCUUUUUGUCCGUGCCCAAGCUUAUCUAUCUCCUGGAGGUGCCGCCGGCAAGAAGGUAAUGCUCCAAGAUGCCUCUUCCAAGAUGACGGUGGGUCUUUAGCACCUCUGGUGUUUUUUCGGAGUGAGACAACGAUUUCUCUUCUGAAGAAUUGUUUUUUCCUUUCACAUGUGCAUGCUUAUGUUAUUUGCGGAUGUUGAAAGCUAAUUUACACGUACUAUGUGCUUUGAGAAGAGAACUGCGUAAUUGUUAUGCAUGAGCACACCUUCUGCAUAGUGGUCAAUUUGGUUGACCUUGAUUGUCAAAAGAAAUUUGCUUAGUGGAUUGUCAUAAGUAACUUGUGUAGUGCUGAAACUUGGAACAUAGAACUUAGCUAUAAAUCUUAACUAUGAUGGUACUUUGGGGAAAAUUGCACAUUGUUACUGAUUUUAAUGACUUAUUUAUUGCUCUGAACCUUGGUUUGUCACCAUAGUUUAGACUCUUGAGUGUUGUUCUGGCUUUGAAAAGUGGGAUCCUAGAGAGGCUAGUCUGUGCAAUAUAUGAAAAUGCUAAUGAUGCCCUGUGAGAAGUUGAGAUCAUGUACAAGAACAAUAAUUAUGUGUGUAGCAAUGAUACAUUCGGAGGCAAAGCAAGACUUGAGAUUCUGGUUCAGUUUCACCUCUUGCCUCUGCACAUAAAUUAAGAUACAAAUUGAGCACAGCACCUUUAGUUCCUAGUUGUCAUCAUAAAAGUACUGAACCUGACAUCUACAAAAUAUAUUCCUUGCAUAAUCUCUUGCUUUUUCUUGAUGAGCACUAACCAGGAAUACCACUGACCAGCGGGAUUCGAACGAUGUGUGGAUUUCCAAAAAGGUAUUUUCUUAUAGUGAUAUAUACCGUUUGAUAUUGAUUUCAUGAAUUCCUGCUAACUUUGUUGUUUUCUAUGAAGUUCAGCUCCCGCAACACCUAUUUCGUUUCCUGUGAUCCACUUGUGAGGCAUAGAAAGGGUUCAAUUUUAUAUAGUUUAUGAGAUGAAAGGGGAAGGGACUGUUAGUUAAGAACAAUUGUAUAUUAAAUGACAGUUAAACAUUUGGAUUUAAGCAAUAGAUCAACAGAGCAUUUUUCUGCAGUUUAAUAACGCUAUAAGAUAAAGAUUCUUCUAAAUGGUUGAAAUUAAUUUUUACUUGAAUGAUGUGCUAAAAUCAACCUCUAUACACCCAGGCACCAUUUUUCUACAGAAUAUAUAUGAUGCUUGCUCCGUGAAUGACUAUCUUGUUGCACGCAUGUCUCCGAAUAAAAUGCAAGGGGUUAGAAACACAUGCAGCACUUCGUAAAUGGUUCCUUAUUCCUGAUCUUUUUAUUGCGCACAGAUCUUACAACUUUUUGGUGCACUACUAUUAGAGGUCUGACCUACAGAAGUCUCCACGGUAAAUAAAGUCUGCCGCCUACCUCGCAGCCUGCUCCUUUCAUAGGAAUCAUUGUGUUGUCUUCAUACUUAACAGGUUUUGUGCUAGCCGUGAAAUGUUUUUGGCCACAUAACUUAUUCAACUAGGUACCUCCGCUGCUCUGUGACCACGAGAAGCUCCAUGCCUUGGUGAGGUCGGUCCCUAUUUUUAGGACUAGAUUCUCUCUUACCUAUGCCUACAAGGUGUUUGAUGAAAAUCCAAGCAAGCUGCAAAGAAUAUUCAUCUAUGUAAUAUCUAAGUUCUGUUGUCUCUGCUUAAUAACUUUUGUCUGAAAUUUAGUUGCAUUCAAUGAUUACUUCCUCUCAUGCCAAUGCGGCAAUAUCUCUCAUCUGAAUUCUCAUUUGUCUUUGCCAGUUACAUAGUGCCUUACGCGCUACCUAGAUAUUGGAGUAGCAUAUUAUCUGCGAAAAUGCUUUUCUUUUUUACAGUCAUUUGUAUGCCACAUCUGGUAGCAUUGGUCCUUUCUAAAGGCCAAUAUGAAAGGGCAACUUAUAUAUGUCAAAUCGCAUGGGUACUUUACUUGGUACUUUCAGGUUUUGAUAUUACUCUAUCACUAGAAUUUCCUUUCGAACAUUGCAAUUAGCUUUUAUCAUAGCAUUGUAAGUAUUGAGAAAUUUGUUCAUCAUACCUCCUAGGUAAACUGGAAGUAUUGUACUAGUCAGCAGGAACCGUGUUCCAAUUGCAUCCUGGGGAUUUUCAUCCUUGUUCUAGCUUCAUUUAAUAAUGUUUGAUGUUGCAGAUAUAGAAUAAUGUUUACGCUUACCUCACCAUAUACCAAUUUGGUUGUUUACUAAUGUUGCAUCUGUAACAUGUCCUAUUUUUCCAUAGUUUGUUUGUUAUGGGAAAUUGGUGAUGAUCUGGUAAGGAAAGAAAUCUUCAAGUCUCGGGUUUUUCUACAACCAUUCCCCCAUGGUGGUAACCUCUCCCAGCGAAUCAUAAUGUAAACUGACUCGGAUCAGGUGUAAAUUUAUUCUUUUUUCUGCUGUAAAAAAAAACUUUCCACUGAGUACACUAAAGUGCAGCAUCCAAUAAACAGACUUAAUGAUAUUCUAUUUGAAUAAUUAAUAUAUCAUGUUCUUGGACUUCUGUCAUGAGUGCCCUAUAGAUGUGCACCAUGCCAUAAGUACAAGCAGCAUGCGUACGUGCAUGGAGUCAUUUAACGCGAGGAAUAGGAGAGAAAAAAGCAGGUCCGCAAUGAAAAGCGGCAUGGCAAGGCAUGCGUGUACUUCUAGUGGUUACCUAUACUUGAAUGGAGUGCCUUCUUGUGUAGGUGUUUCGGUACUAGCUUACCUUGUGAAGUAAUAAUUUUCGUCAAUGCUAUGCUUUAUACAAGUUUUAUGCUGCCAUUGUCUUAUUUUGCAGGAAAGGCAUGCAAGAGGGCAAGGAACCAUGAAGCUGGUGGUCCGGGAUCCUUUGUUUAAUGGUGACUGAAUCGUUGGAGAUGCAUUUUACCAUCAUUUUGUAAACCCGCAUUGUGUUUGAGACAAUGAACCAUAUGUUUUCUCUUUAAUUAGUUACAUUAGUUUAUGGGAAAAUUUUGAUGGUCGUUAUGUUAAUAAUGAAUGAACUAUUUAUAUGUGAAAUUAGUUAAUAUUUGUUUUUAUUGUCUGGUUAUGGUUCA